GAUGGGGUGUGUCCUGUCAUAUUAACGUUGAAAGAGAUCUCGCUGUUCGCAGCCCUGUCUUCGAAUCGAUUGAUUUUUCUCCAGAUUCUAAUCUCUGCUAAAUGUAAAACGACAUUGGAAAAGUUCACGGCCCUGUCUUCGAAUCGAUUGUGACUUUUUCUCUAUAUUCUAAUCUCUGCUGAAUGUAAAUAAAACGGAAUCUCUCAGAAUAUAAAACGACGAGAAACGGCACGAAAGGAUCGUUCAUCGUUGGAUUUCUUUACUAAGAAUGCGACGAAUACGAAAUGGUUGGCUCCAAAUGAGUGCUGUUGCGACUUAUUGAAUUGAUGCUGUCACAAUGGGAAGAGAAGAGAGGUUUGCGAAAAACAGGCUUGACAAUUUUGUGAAGAAGAGAAGGA